GCCCAGAUGGUGGAACUGGUAUACACGCAGCGUUCAGAGCGCUGUGGCCGCAAGGUCAUGGGAGUUCAAAUCUCCCUCUGGGCA
rnacentral:tRNA from 3 species